AGCAGGGUGGUGCAGUGGAGGUGUGCUGGGCCCAUAACUCAGAGGUCAAUGAAUCAAAACCAUCCUCUGCUA